UGCGCCGGUAGAGGGCGGCAGAGAGCAGAGGAGACCGGGACCCCGCGCGGCUUGUGGGAGGGGGACUCGGGCGAGAGGGUGAUGCUCCGUGGUUCCUCAGAAACGCUGGGAAAGGCUCCAAUCAAGUGUCCGAAGCAGAAUGUCUCUCCGCCAAGGUUUGCUGGAUACCCUAGGGCAUGCUGGGCACCGCGCCAGGUAUUGAGGGCACAAAGAUGGGUAAGACUUCCCCCUGCCCUCCGCUGUUCGGUGCCUGAGCUCAGGACAGCAUGAUCCGGCUCCGGGAGGAAAGCCAUCACCAGCACCCACUGUUCCCAGACACAAGGCUGGGCGCCCUCCGUGCUUUAUCUCAUUUAACCCUCCUAACACCCCCGCAAGUUGCUCCAGGCCACUGUGUGAGGAUCCAAGACCUGGAUUGCUGCUGCUGGGGAGUCAGGUGGAGAGUGGAAACGUCCGUAGAAGGCAGGACAUAAGAGAGAGAAAAUUCCACAGAAGCAAGAACUUGGAUCCACAAGUGACUAUGGGAGGGUUGCCGGCUUUACCGGGUGUGCUGACACGGCAGGUGGACUGAUGGAGCGAUAGUGGUGCGCAUCCCCACAUCCGCUGCAUGGCGCACUCACGUGAAGCUGUUUCCUUGGAAGCUGUUAUUUACAGCGCCAGAUGCUCUGUGUGUCUCCUUCUGCCCUCUGAUUGUCGGUCUGCCUGUGUUCCUGGCCCAGGACCCAGAGAGGCCGCAUGGCUUCCAGCUGUGCUGGGGCAUCUGUUUGCGUUCCUCCCCCUCCCUGCUUGUGGGUUCUCACCGCACAACCAGGACUGGCCCUGAGCAGAACUCUGCACUAGGCAGUUUUUCCUCCCUGAUUUCCCCUCAGGCAGCCAGUGCCAUCACGCCCUCAUGCUCUCCUGUCCUCAGCUCACUCCACCCAACCCGCCCCCAUCAAACCUCAUGGCAGGAAAGCAUCUGAUGCUCAAACUCACCGAGUUAGCAAUGGCUGAUAAGGCAGGGUGACCUCUCCCUAAGGGACAAAGCCAAGCUGGGGGUGAGAACCACAAAGCAAGGGUUCAGGCCACAGUGCCUGGAAAGGGCAACAAUUUUGGAAGGGGUUAGGAGGCCUCUCCAGUACCUCUGAAAUCUGAGACUUCUGUGUCAGAUCUGUACGCCUUGCCAUUUUCCAUUUCCAGCCAGAAAUAUCCCAACCUUGUGUUCCUGAUCUUGCUCCUGACCCGCUUGGUUCUUGGCCACAUAGAAACGUGGGCACAGACGUCCACGGGGGUUCUCAACAACCUCGGCAAUAGGUACUCACGUGAGGGCACAGUCUCCUCCAAGUCCACUGGGCAAUGAGUACCACCUCUCAGCUAUAACUCUAUCCUUUUCUUUCUUAUUCAGGCCAAUCUCAUCCAAAUAAGGGAGGAGAAUAUUAUUGUAAAGAUAACCUUGAUUUGCUCUGAUUAUUAGUUUUUCAAGUACAGUGUUCCUAAACUUCGAUGCUUUAUUUAACAUUAAUAACAAAACGGUGACAUACAAAUACUCCGUGGAGAACUAGACUCUGUUGCUGAACAUUGAGGCCCCGGACUGCCCGCUCGUGAAGGGGAUUUGACUUGAUGCAAUAAACCCACUGCAUAUCUAUUAUGUGCCAGGCUGCCAGCCUUUAAAGGUACAAAGGUAAAUAAGACAUGAGCACAGUAGCCAGCUGGAAAGGGAGGCAGCCCUGCCCGCCCCGGGACACGGCAUUCUCUCAGGCUUUUAUCUUAGGACACUACCUUGGGUCGCCACUAAGGCUGUUUCUAACACCUCUUUCAUUCUUUCUUUUUUCUUCCUUAAUGGAUCUUGCUAUUUUAUUUUUCUUUAAGUUUGUCAGGUUUAGAAAUCUUCUCAGAAACCGGCAUCUGAGUUUGUCAAUUAUGGCUUGUAUCCGGAUUCAUUAAUUUUUGCUUUUAUUUUUAUGUUUCUACUUUCUUUGGAUGUCCUCUUGAUUUUUUUAAUUGAAUAUUAGCUCAUUGACAUUCAGUCUUAUUAUCAAUGGAUUUUAGACUAUAUAUUUUCCAAUAAAGACAAUUUUCACUGCAUUCACAAAUUUUGGUGUGUAUUAUUUUCGUUAUUAUUGUGUUGUAAUUUUCACAACUAUAAUUAUUUUUCUUUGACCUGUAAAU